CCACCAAGCCUGCCUCCUCGUCACUGGUGUCGUAGACCGACAGCCGGUACAGGAACAUCUCGGUACUGGCGGUCCGCCGGGACCGAGUCACCAACACGACUGAUUCACAAGCACACACACGCAAACACCCGGUCGGCUACCUCACGGCCUGGCCCGGCUACAAAGGUCGUGCGCGGAGAGCGCAGAUAAAAGCUGGCAACAGCGGCAAGAUGACUAAUUAUAGAAGCCUCCCGCCGAGAAGCAACUACGCUGACGCCGCGGGAGUUCUCACGCGGACUGGUGGCACUUUGCACCUGCUCGUUAAUUAGUCGACCGAGGUGAGGGUAAUCAACCAGUUCCGACCACCCGCACGAGACUCGCAAGUGCCUGCUACAUUUCCGCGUGAACGAGGAGAGACCACUGGGUUAUCGACACACACCUUCCACCACAGAACUUCAAAACCAGGAGACACCCUGCGCAGUAGGGAAGCUCACCUUGCGCAUGUCGUUCAUGGGCACCUGCUCGACCGGCUCCUCCAUCUGCACCAGGGCGGUGUCCUCGGUGACUGGGGCCCUAUCCUCGCCGCUCAGGUCCUCGGCGCUGUGGUACACCGUCACCUGCGACAGGCUCAUGUAGCUCCUCCGCGGCAGCGAGACCGUGUCCUCGAAGACGUCGUCCUCGUCCUCUUCCAUCGCCAGCGGGCAGUCCGGCGCGGGCCCCUGGUCCCUCACCGCCCUGCGGGACACACCGCGGGCAUCUCCGUCUAGAGUCGCGGCCGCCACGCGAGGGCAUUCGCAACAGUUAGUAUGUAUCUACGAUGCUCGUCAGUGGCGUAGCCAGGAGUUGUGUAUGGGGGGUGUUAAGAAGCAUGCCCCCCCCCCCCCCCUUUUAAAGUGGGGGGUUCGGGGGUGCUCCCCCGGGAAAAUUUGGAUAUUAAGGUAAAAAAUAGUGCUAUUUUAGCAGUUUUCGGUACUUAAAUUUAAAUAUUGUAAUGGUAAAAUUUUAUUAAUUUUAAUAUGAAAUUUGUUUGAGUGAUGAAGAAGAAAUUAAAGAUUUGGUGCUAAGGGAAGGGGGGGGGGGUUGAACCCCUAAAACCCCCCACCCCUGGCUUCGCCCCUGACGCUCGUAUCUCCUAUGAACUGGCAUGCAGUCUUCUCAUCGUGCAUAGCGCAAACUGUGAGAUUCGAGCGGCAAUAAUUAUAUGGCCGAGAAAUUACGAUAAAAUUCUAAUGCAUGGUCCCUUGAGUGCUUCCAGGAAUCUCUACUGGAAGUUUCGUGCCUAAAAAUUAUUCUGAAAACACUCAAUUUUUGCCAUUUUAACUCUUCUAAAAAUACCUACAGUUUAAAAACUCAAUCUGAAAUCAAAAGUACUUUUCGACCCUCAGCAAAUUCUUGAAUGCUUUUCGUAAGCAGACCCCACUCGGAUUUCGUGAGUAGUUUUGAAAUUCUGUUGAAUUUCCUGCAGCUCUGCACCCGUAUGUGUUCCAAGGUAAGCAAGGCCCUUAAAGUGCGGACAUUAUACGCCAAAAUCGAAAUUCCAUAGACCACAUAUUUAGUAAAAUUUUUCACACUAAAUUGACAUUAAAUUAUAAUGUAUUCAAGAUAAUUUAAGCUUUCUUAGAUUAUUAUUUCAUUUUAAGUCCCAGCCAUUGCAGACAAAUGCUUAAAUAUUGACAGAUAUAUGAGGAGAUCCUAGCCUAUUGUUUCAUGGAAAAUAUAUAUUUUUUUAAAGCUCACAAAUUUAUCUCGAUGAAUGUAUUGAGCAAUUCACUAAAUUUUAAUAUAUGCUGAUGUCAACUAGUGUGAAUUUUUUUCCUUCAGAACUUAUGUAAAGAACAUUAGUUUAUAGGGCAUAGAAGAUGGUCAUUAUUCAAGUGGUUUGCUUCUGCCAAGUAGUCAGCCUAAGGUUGCCACUCACACACUUUAAAAGGAAAACACAUUAAGCAAUAAGGAAACCAAUGGAAUUUCAUUGGAGACACCAAAACUACACUUGAGGACCACACCUUAAAUUAUUCUUUUACAUUAAGAAUUGAAACAGUAUUGUAAGGUUCCAAGAAUUAAAACUUCUUUGUUUAUUGUAGUUAUUACUCUUAAAAAUUUCUAACCCAACAUUUCCAUUACCUACUAUUUUUUUUAUUGAAGUUUUACCCAUAUAUGUAAAUAAUUCAGUACAUAAUUUUUUUUUAUUAUAUCUUCAGUUUAAUUUGGCCUCUCUGUUUGUUACUAUACAAGUUAUUAAAAUCUGACGUAGUUUUAGCUAAUAAUUGCAUGGCCACUAAUUUGUGCAAACUUUUGCACAUGUUUUUAACUAAGCUACCAAUAAAAUUUAGAACAAAAUAAAAAUUGCUUUAGUACCUAAUUAGCUGCAUUGCAAAUUAAGGUGGUUCUAUUAUCCAUACUCACAAACAUCAGAUCACAAAUGUGUAUCCUAAUAAUUAAUGAAAAUUAUGUAACUCACUAAUUAUUCACACAAUCCAAAAAUCAUGAAAACUAAUGCAACUAAACAUUGGAAACUGGGAGGUUCAUUCCCGAUGACAUCUGCCACAGCACUGGCUCUAUAGCCACAAACCCGAUACAUUCCACAGCCACUUUGACUCUUGAUUAACUAAUGCUGAUGGCCAAUAACUACCAAUGAAGACAAAUCAUGGAGCGCGCGGAGUGAGGCUCUGCUUGACGUGCCGUAUCGACACUUAAAACCAUUAUUAAAUUUCACAUACAGAGUGCAUUACUUCUUGAAUUGUCACUACCUGUUAACCUUAAAAAAAAACUUUCAAGUGUCAAAUAGCAUAUACACUUAGUUUUUAUAAAAAUUACAGCAAUUUCUACCAUUCAUUGUCAUUCAUACACAAUGGAAUAACCCUACCUAAAGUUUUAUGGACUUUUGGAUUGAGAAACCUACAUAAACAUUACAAUUCCAAAAAUAAUAUUUACACUUUUACAUAGACCGUAACAAAUAACACAAAACUCAAAAUGUAAGUACAUUUAAUUUUUAGUUUUGUUAAAAACCUAUGCUCUUGAUAACUUUUUUCUUUUUAGAUUGAACAUUUUAGUAACUGAAGCUCUUUCAGCAUGGACAAGUUCAAUCACCUUGCUGUUGAUGAUGUAAAGCUAAUGUGCCAUCCACGCAUAAUUUAUGUUGUCCCAUAAGUACUGUACCGAUGUUCUUUUCUUCUAAACUUGCCUUCAAUUACACGACUCAGUUAUCCAUUCCUAGCUCGUAAACCAUCCCAUCCACUUGGCUUUCCUUCGUAGAAUAAUCUGCAGGCUGUUUCCCCUGGUCCCUGAACCUCCGCAGGAAAAGCCCUCUCACUGGUCACUCCGCCCAUCCACUCGAUCAACUCUAUUCCUGGAGCCCACGCCAUAUUUCACAACUCUGCUAUUUCUGCUUCCUUCUGCUGACGGUCCACGAGUCUGUUCCAUGUAGUGAUACUCUCUCGACGUCACACUUUGCCAGUUUAUAGUCAUUCAUCCAGCACAGCACUUUUAGUCGGAACCAACAAAGUAAUUAAUUUUUGAUCGGAAACCAUUUGGUCACCCCUUGCAGUAAGGGUUGGUAAAAUUAUUAUUAUUUUUUGUUGUUCUGUCACAAAUAUUUCCAACAGAUAUUAACUUAGUGUAUGGUCUUGGGUGUAAAAAGAUAUAUGCAAGUCUUUGUAAUUAUCACCACUUGCACGACUGUUUACACCCAUGAUACCUAUUACACUAAUUUAAUAUAUGUGGCAGAAUGACAAAUGCAAGAGAGGUAGAGAAUUAAAAUGUUAAGUAGCCCUUAAAAAAUAAAUGAUGAGAAAAAAAUCAACAUCGCAUAUGUGACAGCCUUAAUUUUUUUGUCCAUCAAACCUUGCUUUUUAUCACCUUUUGAGCUGAUGAUUGGUGCAAUCCCAAAAAAAAUGGUAAAACUACUAUGAGGUAUAACUUUGAAUGGAUGCAAAAUUUUUCGUAGACAAAACUACAAUGUUAUCAAAUGAAUAGAAUAUUUUUUUUUAUCAACCUUUAAAUGGUGAGAAUGAAUUCCAAGAAUAAUCAUGCUGGUCAAUAUGUAACUAAUAUGGUGUUUUUAUUAGAAACAAGACCCCCUACCUUCACAUUUUCCCCCGAUUUCAUUUCAUUUUGUUUUGAGAUGGAAAUGUACACGCACCUGAGCAUUAUGUCAGUAAAAACAGAGCUCUCAGUAACAGCAUUUUAAAAUCAUAACUGACCAAUUCAAAUUUGACACGAUUGUGUUAUCUUGAUUGAUUUCAAUUUACUUAGCAAUCACACAGUGGAUUUCGAGGUCUCGGCAGGUCACACGUAAACUUCAGGCCGCAAAUUAAGGACCCCACCUAACUUGGCACACACAUGGUGUGCAGAGCUUCAGAAAAAACUCACACGAAUAGGGAAAACUACACAAGAUCUCCCUGUGGUGUCUGUUAACGAAAAGCAUUUUAAGAACAUACUGAGGGUGAAUUAGUAGUUUUGUUUCUUUAUUUCGUUUUUGAACUGUGUUUCAAGAAUAACUUUUUUGGCAUGAAACAUCCAUUAUAGAUUCUUGAAAGUAAUCAAGGAACUAGCAUUGCAGCUUUAUCUUCAUUUAUACAAGACUGCACGCCAGUUAAGAGGCGACACUGUGUCAGCGUCACACUUAUCAUCCCGCCUAACACAAAUCCUGUCCUGUCUCCUGUCUAGGCAGACCCCUUAAAAUAUUAAUCUGAAGAGUGUGGCUAGACAGCAAUCUACCGCAUGUAAAUAAUUCAGGAGAAGUUACUCUAAAACUGAACAUAUUUUGAUAUCAGGAGAUUAUGAUGUAAAUAUUUAUUGAGGGAAAAGAAAGACUUGAGAAUCUUCGAGCACUGGACGACCUUCAUGAUAAAGCUUCUCAAGUGCCUAAUUUAAGUUCUUCAGAAUCUUAAGUUGUUUCCAAAUAGUACACUGAUAUAUUCAGUUGUUCUGCUCUCUGUCAGUUAAAUCUGUCAAUCAUUCAACGUCAAUCUCUGUUCAAUCCCUCUACGUGUUCCUCUAACUUCUCCAACAACACUGGGUGCAUUCUGCUUGCACAUUACAUCCAGUAACUCUGUACUUCAGCAGAAAGGAUGGAGAAUAAUGUAAUAUGUCUUUGUGCUUCAUCUCAUAUUACCUAAACGAUGAUGUUCUCUUAGUAUAUGAGGUUCAAAGAAGAUUGAGCUCACUAAUUCAUGAAGAAUUCUUUAACAUUAAUCAAGUGGAGUAUAUCACAGACGGUAGUGCAGCACAAUACAAGAAUUUUAAAAGAUUGGUCAACCUCUGCUAUCACAUGGAAAUUUUUGAUUUAAAAGCUUUUUGGACCUUUCAUGCAACAAGUCAGGUAAAACAGCAUGUAAUUAGUGUUGGAGGAUGUGUUAAAAGGGCAGUAUUUAGAGUGAGGGUGAGUAGGUAAAAUCUACCAAUUUUAUUUCACCAUUUUGAAGCAAUUUUUUUGCUCUUUCUAAUGGUACCAAGCCCGAGAUUGUAAAGAUUAAUAGAAAAAAGUUAUAAUAGGAUUACUAAACUGAUGAUUACAAUUCAUUUUUUUCUACUUCUAACAUAAAUUGAAUGUACUUCUGGUCAUUUAAUUACAUUUUACGAGUGAUAUUUGAAAACUACGUUAAAUUCUGAAUAAGUAUGAUGAACUUCAUGAUACUAUGUUUAUAACUGUUAUUACAAAUGCAAGUUGAAGCAAGAUAUGUUACUCGACUUUGAUUGCGGAUUAAAAAAAUUCCACCAAAAGAGCUUUGAAUUCAAAACUAGAGUCAAUAUUCCUAAAAUGAAAAAAAAAAAAAAAAAAAAAAGAGGGGGGGGAGGUUCUUAUGUUUGUCUGAAAUCUGAGAUGGUGGUGUGGACACCCCUGGAUGAUAUGGCAUGGAAUGACCCUUGAUACAUGAUGCUUGCUGUUUUAAUUUAAUACAUCGAAAUAUCCUUGAUAUAACAAAAAUUCUGAUGUAACAAUGAAUUAUGAUUGUAUUAUCAGGUCCAAUAAAAAUCUGAAAAUGAAUUUUUUUUUUACCUCUUAACAUUGUUUGUAGUGUAGGCCUAAUAUUUUUGUUAUGUCCAGGAUCUUUCGACAUAGGUACCGUACUAAAUUAAUACAGUAAGCAUCAUGUACCACAGGAUCAAUAGGAUCAUGCCAUCAGGAUCAAGGAAUAAACUUGGAUACGUGAUAUGGAACAAUUACCCUUAUUUACACCACUCUGCUUCCUGGACAGAGGAAGCAGGGAGGGCACACUCAUCUACUAGCAGAAUUUCAUCUGUGCUUUCGCAAGAUAACUAAAAAUUAUUAACAGCACCCUAGUUUAAUUUUUGCCAAAAUUUUACUAGCACGCAAAUAUUGGAAAUACUGAAAUAUGAUUUGGUACUUGUCUUGCAUUCAAUUUGUAACACACUUGUUCUCACAUAAAUUUAACAACACAGUAAGAGUUAUAUGACUCAUAGCCCAAGCACACGUUAACACAAUGGGACCAGCAUAGAACUGGCAUCAAAACAAGACAAUCAGCAAUUCGGUAGCUCUGUAAAGAUGAAAAUGCAUUUUGCAGCACACCCUGCCUUUAAAGUAUCAAGUCUGAGCAGUUAACACAGUCCCAUUCUGGGACUUAAAAGGUAGCACUUUUUCAGAAAACAUGCAGAAAGUUGUGGACUUAAACCCAAUUCCGAAUCAAACUCAGCUCUAUGUAACAGACUAUUGCCAGAAUUGCGUCUCCAACAUUACGUUUUAGGUUAUCCAAUUUCAAUUUAUGAAAAGCAGAAAUGUCAGACUUACGGGAUUUUUAUAUUAAUCCAAAUCAUAUCCUAGACAUCACUGCAGUUACACCAGUCAAAAUUUUAAUUCACGUGGAAUUAAACGCUAAAGAUUCAGAAGUAGAAGUUUUUAACCUUUAAGAUCAAUCAAAUCACCUAUCAAUGACAGCACCGAUAAAUAAAUAAAAGACUUGAAUAGUUGCAAAAACUUACUUUUUGUCACAAUCAUAGUGUUACAUCAAAAAACUGCAAGUCUCGAUAUUUAUCAUUCGCUAUAAUUACCGCUUACAUCACAAACCAAAAACAACAUCAAACACCAACUACUCACCCCACUCCCUUCGCUUCCUCCAUGCCAGCCGGAAGGACACUGGCAAAAUGUGAGCGCUCAUGACCAUCUUAAUGACCAUGAUAUCUAUGCCAGACAUAAAUACCAAGUACUAGCUGUUUGAAAUACAAUACAAUUACAAUUUACGCCCAAAAAACCAAAUUACUGAAUAUUUUAUUAAGAAUUCAAUGGAGUGUCAUAAGCACAAAACUUUUAAAGACUACAAAAUUACAUAAUUUUCUCUUUGAAAUAUAAUAAAAGUGUCAAGAAAAAAGCAAAAUGUGAUGAUACUAAUCAGCAUAAUAUUUCAAAAUGGAAUCAUAAUUUUUCUGAAUAAAUAAAUAACCUUCAAUAGUGUCCAGUUGUAACAAACAUGGCGCCGUUUUUCUCACUAUAUCACCAAAUAUGAUACAUCUUAAUCUCUGCAAGUGUAAACCAAUAGUAUUUUAGAAUUUUUUUUAUUCUGCCGCCAAUGGCAGCUUACGAGAACUUUGGUGCUCAAGUGUUUGAAUUUCAAGCACUUCGGCAUUUUGAUUUCCAGGCAUGACUUGAAAUUAACAGUAAAUACUAUAAAGGCAUACUGAAUUUUAUUACAGUGAGUUUAUUUCCAAUUUAUUAAAGUAUUACGUACAUGUUUUCAAUGCUACAUAACUUAUGUAGUAGGUACCUACCAAGUAACAAUAAAAAAUGAUUAUUUUCAAACUCUGUCUUAUUUCAAAUAUUUUUCAGCAUGCUCCAGCACACCUAAGCAUGUAUAUUGUCAGUUUAAUUAGAACACCUUGAAACUGUCACUUUUUGUCAUUAUUAUUUUUUUGCUUAAGUACAUCACACACUUUUCUUGUACAUGCGGUAGCCAUUUUAGUAAACCUCUCAGCUACAAAGAUCUAAAAAGAAUUGGCAAAUAUUGUAUUUUAAUUUAGUUUUCUAAUGUGAAAUAUUCAUUUUUUUUUUUCACAGCAAGCAGUCCUAAUUUUGUGUUUAUCGUGCCAAAGUAAUAACUACAUACUUAAUAAAGAUUAAUCCUAAGAAGUUAAAGAGAAAUGCAUUUUGUAACAACCUUUAGUAAGGUGAGGGGUUAAAAGUUUAGGCAUUAGUCUUUCAGUAAAUUUUGCCUCCUGCAAAUUAAGAGUUUUUCUUAUCAGGCAAAACAAUAUGCCAUUAGGUUUGGUAGUGGUGGACUGCUAAAUGGCAAGUGAAAAGUUGCAUUUAUUUGUAAAGCUGAAGAGUCAGGACCACGUGUGCUCAAAACAGGCCAAAAUGUCCAAGUCAAUCUGAACAAUUCCUGGUGGCUCUGGUGAGAAGAAGUGGCAGAUACAGAAAUUUACUUUGGGAGGGAAUUUGAAAAAAAAAAAAUGAGAAUUUUGUAUUCAAAUAUCUUGAGUCAACAAGGAAUUAGGUAAGUUACAUUAUCAUUCUCAACCAGUGGCGUAGCCAGGAUUUGUGUAUGGGGGGUGUUAAGAAGCAUGCCCCCCCCCCCCCCCCGUAUUAAAGCGGGUGGUCCGGGGGUCCUCCUCCGGGAAAAUUUGGAUUUUAAGGUGUAAAAUAGUGCUAUUUUAGCAGUUUUCGGUUCUUAAAUUUAAAUAUUGUAAUGGUGAAAAUUUUAUUAAUUUUAAUAUUAAUUUUUUUUGAGUGAUGAAUAAGAAAUUAAUUAAAGAUUUGGUGCUAAGGGGGAGGGGUUGAACCCCUAAACCCCCCCCCCUGGCUACGCCCCUGUUCUCAACAUGCAUAACUCUGCCUUUGUGGUCCGUGAGUCCAGGUGUUGUAACAGCUCACCUUACAUCUCCCAAAAUAAAAUACUGCCUUCACCAAGA